UUUCAUUUCAAAUCAAGUAGAUUCGAGUCCAGCGUCUUUUUAGUGGGGCUGGGCACCAGCCGCGGACGCGGUUCCGAGACCCUGUCUCGAAGCGGCUUCCUCGGCUCGCUGGACAGCCCA
rnacentral:lncRNA from 1 species